GGGGCAGCGGGGGUGCAGGCUUGCCUGCGCCUGCCGGCGACCGGCGCACGGGUGAGUAACACGUAUGGAACCUGCCCGCCACAGGGGGAUAACCCGGGGAAACCCGGCCUAAUACCCCAUGCCGUCCGGACCGGGCAUCCGGUCCGGGCGAAAGGAGGAAUCCGGUGGCGGCUGGGCAUGCGGCGCAUUAGCUUGACGGCGGGGUAACGGCCCACCGUGGCGACGAUGCGUAGGGGUUCUGAGAGGAAGGCCCCCCACACUGGAACUGAGACACGGUCCAGACUCCUACGGGAGGCAGCAGUGAGGAAUAUUGGUCAAUGGGCGGAAGCCUGAACCAGCCAAGUCGCGUGAGGGAAUAAGGCCCUACGGGUCGUAAACCUCUUUUGCCGGGGAGCAAGGGCCGGGACGCGUCCCGGCCCGGAGAGUACCCGGAGAAAAAGCAUCGGCUAACUCCGUGCCAGCAGCCGCGGUAAUACGGAGGAUACGAGCGUUAUCCGGAUUUAUUGGGUUUAAAGGGUGCGUAGGCGGGCUUUUAAGUCAGCGGUAAAAAUUCGGGGCUCAACCCCGUCCGGCCGUUGAAACUGGGGGCCUUGAGUGGGCGAGAAGAAGGCGGAAUGCGUGGUGUAGCGGUGAAAUGCAUAGAUAUCACGCAGAACCCCGAUUGCGAAGGCAGCCUUCCGGCGCCCUACUGACGCUGAGGCACGAAAGUGCGGGGAUCGAACAGGAUUAGAUACCCUGGUAGUCCGCACAGUAAACGAUGGAUGCCAGCUGUCCGGGCCGAAUGGGGCCUGGGUGG
rnacentral:rRNA from 1 species